AGUGAACGCUGGCGGUAGGCCUAACACAUGCAAGUCGAACGGCAGCACAGGAGAGCUUGCUCUCUGGGUGGCGAGUGGCGGACGGGUGAGGAAUACAUCGGAAUCUACUCUGUCGUGGGGGAUAACGUAGGGAAACUUACGCUAAUACCGCAUACGACCUACGGGUGAAAGCAGGGGACCUUCGGGCCUUGCGCGAUUGAAUGAGCCGAUGUCGGAUUAGCGAGUUGGCGGGGUAAAGGCCCACCAAGGCGACGAUCCGUAGCUGGUCUGAGAGGAUGAUCAGCCACACUGGACCUGAGACACGGUCCAGCAUCCUACGGGAGGCAGCAGUGGGGAAUAUUGGACAAUGGGCGGAAGCCUGACUCAGCCAUACCGCGUGGGUGAAGAAGGCCUUGGGGUUGUAAAGCCCUUUUGUUGGGAAAGAAAUCCAGCUGGCUAAUACCCGGUUGGGAUGACGGUACCCAAAGAAUAAGCACCGGCUAACUUCGUGCCAGCCGCCGCCGUAA
rnacentral:rRNA from 1 species